CUUUGGGGCAGGGUGAAAUUCCCUACCGGCGGUGAAGCGGCUUCGGCCGACAAGCCCGCGAACGCUCGAUGUUUCGAUGCGCCGAGUCGGUUUGAAUCCGACGCCGACGGUCAAAGUCCGGACGGAAAAAG
rnacentral:ncRNA from 2 species